GAUGAACGCUGGCGGCGUGCCUAAUACAUGCAAGUCGAGCGAACGGACGAGAAGCUUGCUUCUCUGAUGUUAGCGGCGGACGGGUGAGUAACACGUGGAUAACCUACCUAUAAGACUGGGAUAACUUCGGGAAACCGGAGCUAAUACCGGAUGAUAUUUUGAACCGCAUGGUUCAAAAGUGAAAGACGGUCUUGCUGUCACUUAUAGAUGGAUCCGCGCUGCGUUAGCUAGUUGGUAAGGUAACGGCUUACCAAGGCAACGAUGCAUAGCCGACCUGAGAGGGUGAUCGGCCACACUGGAACUGAGACACGGUCCAGACUCCUACGGGAGGCAGCGGUAGGGAAUCUUCCGCAAUGGGCGAAAGCCUGACGGAGCAACGCCGCGUGAGUGAUGAAGGUCUUCGGAUCGUAAAACUCUGUUAUUAGGGAAGAACAUAUGUGUAAGUAACUGUGCACAUCUUGACGGUACCUAAUCAGAAAGCCACGGCUAACUACGUG
rnacentral:rRNA from 1 species